rnacentral:rRNA from 1 species
CCCUUAGAUGUCCUGGGCCGCACGCGCGCUACACUGAGUGUCUGAGAUACGAGUCUGCCUGGUCCGGCAAGGUCUAGGUAAUCGCUAAAAGACACAUCAUGCUUGGGAUAGAUUAUUGCAAAUAUUAAUCUUGAACGAGGAAUUCCUAGUAAGCGCAAGUCAACAGCUUGCGUUGAUUACGUCCCUGCCCAUUGUACACACCGCCCGUCGCUACUACUGAUUGGAUGUUUAAGCGAGGUUCUCGAACUGCUAGCGACUUAGCUUCGGUGAGGUCGCAGUGUGGGAAGUGAACCUAGCUUUGGUGUCUAGAGGAAGUAAAAGUCGUAACA